rnacentral:tRNA from 1 species
GCGCACGCCCGGCUCUGACUACGGAUCAGAAGGUUGGGGGUUCGAAUCCCUCCGGGCGCA